rnacentral:rRNA from 1 species
UACGUAGGGUGCGAGCGUUAAUCGGAAUUACUGGGCGUAAAGCGUGCGCAGGCGGUUUUGUAAGACAGAUGUGAAAUCCCCGGGCUUAACCUGGGAACUGCAUUUGUGACUGCAAGACUAGAGUACGGCAGAGGGGGGUAGAAUUCCACGUGUAGCAGUGAAAUGCGUAGAGAUCGGGAGGAACAUCAGUUGCGAAGGCGGCUCUCUGGACCAGCACUGACACUGAGGCACGAAAGCGUGGGGAGCAAACAGG